rnacentral:lncRNA from 1 species
CAUUAUUUUCAGUAGCACCCAGGGGGCGCGCGUGUAAUCUGAUCACUGAUUUUCAAUUUUAAGAUAAUGGCUGAAAUAUUUGUGAUAAAUUUUGCAGUUUUCGGAAUUUGACAAUGGAACACGAUAGUAUGAACUUCCAAGAAUGGUUUAAUCUUAAGAAAAGGACUAUAAAAAAUUGAAAUCACAAGGAAAAUGGGAUAUAAAAGAUAAAUAUAUAUAAUUGAUUGGAGAAUUAGUUUUACAAAAUUAUUCGAUUCGCUACAGCUGUGUACAGGUGGAAAAGAUGUUCAAAGCAAGUGUAGUUGAAAAAGGCCUUUACAAUUGCAGGUCUAACUGAAUGAAAUUUAGCUUAGUUAUAAUCCAAAAAUGAGUCUUGCAAGACAAGAAAAGAAAAGAGAAAUUUGGGAAAAGGAGCACACUAUGACACCCGAUCCCCUCACGUAAAUAAAAUAAAAAAAACAGUGUUUUUACUCUUUGGGGCAUUAUAGAAAAAUCUCUCACCUUUCACUCAAAAUAUGGAUAACUUUUUGUCAAGAGGUCUAUAAUUCUCUUUGACAGCUACAGACAUAAUAAUUUUGUAUCUUUUUCAGCUAGACAAAAUCCUUUACGUUAACUUAAAAUGCACGAGUCAAACACUACCCAAGUUUGUUUUACAAGUAAAUUCUUCUCUCUUUUUAUAUAAAAAAUAUGGGAUAUAUAUGAUUCUAAUUAUUCGUUAUCCACAUUGGACUAUAUACUAGUAUGAAGAAAACAACAAUUUCAAUUACCAGUAACAAGAUUAGGCCCUAACACUAAAGAUUUCAAAGAUGUCCUACCCCCUGGUGAUGCUGAAGAUAAUAUUACAC